UACGGGGGGUGCGAGCGUUGUCCGGAAUCACUGGGCGUAAAGGGCGCGUAGGUGGUUUGAUAAGGGUGUGGUGAAAGUCCGGAGCUCAACUCCGGAUCUGCCGUGCCGACUGUCAAACUCGAGGGCUGUAGAGGCAGACGGAAUUCCGGGUGUAGCGGUGGAAUGCGUAGAGAUCCGGAGGAAGACCGGUGGCGAAGGCGGUUCUCUGGGCCUUACCUGACGCUGAGGAGCGAAAGCGUGGGGAGCGAACAGG
rnacentral:rRNA from 1 species